rnacentral:tRNA from 4 species
UCCCUCGUAGCUCAAUGGCAGAGCAGAGAGCUGUUAACUCUAAGGUUGUUGGUUCGAGUCCAGCCGGGGGAGCCA